rnacentral:rRNA from 1 species
CUAGGGUUUUGUUAAAGUCGUACCUGCCCAGUGAUAGUAAUAUUAAAUGGCCGCAAUUAAAUGCGAAAAGGUAGCGUAAUCAAUAGUCCUUUAAUUGGGGAAUGGAAUGAAAGGUGUGACACAGAAAAGCUGUCUUUAAUAAAAAUUAAUUGAAAUUCUCUUUUAGGUGAAGAGGCCUAAAUAUUUGUAAAAGACGAGGAGACCCUAUCGAACUUAAUUAAGAAUAGAGUGAUUAAAGUAAAAUGAGUUAAUUUUUAAUGUUGUAAGGUUUUAGUUUUCUUUUUGUUAUAAUUUUAUUGUGAAAUUUUGUUGGGGCAACAAAUGAUCAGAAAGAUCUUUAUUUAAAAUGAGGAACCUUUAUGAAAGAUUUGAGCAAAAGUUACCGUAGGGAUAACAGCGUAACCUUCUUUUCGAGAGUUCUUAUCGAGAAAAGGACAAACGACCUCGAUGUUGAAUUAAAGUUACCUUAUGGUGUAGAAGCUAUAAUUGGUUAGACUGUUCGUCUUUUGAUUCUUUACAUGAUCUAGUUCCCAAAAACGGGGAAAA